GACAGAGGGUGCAAACGUUGUUCGGAUUUACUGGGCGUAAAGCGUGUGUAGGCGGCUUUGCAAGUCGGAUGUGAAAUCCCACGGCUCAACCGUGGAAGUGCAUCCGAAACGGCAUCGCUUGAGUCUCGGAGAGGAAGGUGGAAUGCUUGGUGUAGAGGUGAAAUUCGUAGAUAUCAGGAGGAACACCGGUGGCGAAGGCGGGUCUCUGGGCCGAUAUUGACGCUGAGGAGCGAAAGCGUGGGGAGCGAACAGG
rnacentral:rRNA from 1 species